CAGGUAGCAUAAUCAUUAGUCUUUUAAUUGAAGGCUGGAAUGAAUGGUUGGACGAGGUAAAAGCUGUCUCUCANAGGAUUAACUAGAAAUUGACUUUUCAGUUAAAAGGCUGAAAUAAAAUUAGAGGACGAGAAGACCCUAUAGAUCUUUAUACCAAUAUUUAAANUUUUAUAGAAGAGGUUUAUCUUUAGAAAUUUGGUAUUUUGUUGGGGCGACAAGGAAAUAAAUUAACUUUCUUUAAUUAANACACUGAUUAGUGGUUAAANNUGAUCCAUUAAUAAUGAUUAUAAGACUAAGUUACCUUAGGGAUAACAGCAUAAUCUUCUCUGAGAGUUCUAAUCGACGAGAGGGGUUGUGACCUCGAUGUUGGACUAAGGG
rnacentral:rRNA from 1 species